GAAAUGUACCAGGUGGAUGUGACAUUAGACUUUCAUUCUUCUGUUGCACUGGAUUCUUCUAUUGCACUGGAUUGAAGUCCCAACCAAAUCCUUCCCAAGAUCAUAUCCAGAGUGAGAGUAAGUCCAAAACCACUUACAGGUUGUCUCGUCCCCGCUGGUGAUGAGGCCUAGGAUGGUAGUGUCAUCAGCAAAUUUCAGGAUGGUGUUUGAGCUGUGCUUGGUGACACAGGUGUGUGUGAAAAGGGAGUACAGAAUGGGGCUGAGCGCACAUCCUUGUGGAGUGUCUGUGUUCAGAGUCAGCUUGGAGGACAUGGAGUUGCCAACCUUCACUUCCUGGGGUCUGCCAGUCAUGAAAAUUCUCAUCACUUGGAUACCACUUGCUGCUGCUGAGGAUGGCCCCAUAUGGACAGCCUAAAGAUAUAUGAGAUUAUUGUGGAUGGUACCACUUAGAAAACAUGAAGAUGGCUUUGUACUGCAAUUGAUACAAACAGUUUUGCUAUGAUGGCUUAGGACUGUUAUUGCUUUGAUAGCUUUAGGACUGCAGUUUGCAAUGGCCAGUUUUGCACUCAGUCUCCAUCAGUGAACAGUUGAUAACUUCAACAAAACAGACUUCAUGUGUAAACUUUAAUGAAUUUUCUUGGUUACACAAUUGCACUUUUUGACCAUGUAGUACACAGUUAUAGAAGGGAAUUAUUUAUAGGAUGAGGAUGGGUUCCUUUUUGAGCCUCGUUCUUCUCAAAGUUUCUUCCUCAUGAAGUCUCAGGGAGUUUUUCCUUGCCAACGCCACUUUAGCGAUAAAUUUAUAAAUGUAAAAUUUAUAUCUUAUAUCUUAUUUCUGUAAAGCUGCUUUGUGACAAUGUCCAUUGUUAAAAGCACUAUACAAAUAAAAUUGAAUUGAAUUGAGUUAUGCAUUCGUUUUUUGCUUCAAGUGGAAUUCUUUUAUGAAUAAUUAACAUAAAUUAAACACUGAAUGCUCAUAUCUCAUACUCUCACAUGCACACAGUACACUCUAAAGGAUUGUCUACACUGGGUUGCUUUGGUCUACUACAGACCUGAAGAGCUCAAGAGCAGUAAGGUUCCAACAGGAAGAGGGUGAAGUGAGUUCGAGGGACAGUACGGUAAUAGGAUAAAAUGCUUUGAUCUUAAUCCUGAGAUGAAGUCUGGAGAAUAGGAUUAAGCAUUAUGACAGACAGGUAGGAAGAGUGCCUUAGUGGACCGGAGAAGGCUUGACACACAGAUCUCAUUAGCAUUAACUGAUAUUGGGACAUCUGUAAAGCUCCACACAUACAGAGUAACUUUUUUUUUAUCAGUUUAUCAUGAAUGUAUCAUACACAUAGGCAACAAAUAAGCAAGGAAUCCAAGCGCAUAGAAUUAAAAUCCAUCAUCAGCUAGCAAAGAAGUGGUGAUGCUUUUUUUUUAAACUAAUAAAUAGAUGCAUAAGUUUAUAUUACAGAAUAUAUUACCAAGAAUGAGAAUAGGCAUUCAGUUCAAUUGAAUUUUAUUUAUGUAUAUAGUAGCACUUUUAACAAUGGAUAUUGUCACAAAACUACUUUACAGAAAUCCGGAUAAACAUUUAAAAUUUUAAAUUUUACUAAUGUCCGCUAUAUACCCUAUCAUUUGUCCUCUCUAAAAAUACUUUCAUUUUUGAACACACAUGAAAGAAAUAGAUCCAUGAAGAUUAUUGGGAAGUGAAGGAGUGUCUUGUGCAUGUACUUUUUAUUUUAAAGAAUGAUGAACCUGAUGAGAAGGUGAGAAAAUUAACGAUCUCUUUUUCCUCCUUCAGUCAUUUUUGACACAAUUUUUAUUACACUUGCAGCACGUAUAGUAAUCUAAAUGGGUCCCUGGAGGACUAGUGGUUAGGCCACAUCGCUCUCACCACUGCGUCCUGGGUUUGAUUCCUGGUCAGGGAACUACCCCCAGCCAGUGGGUUUACGUGCAACAGUGCGCUCUCCGUGCCGGUCCCAAGCCCGGAUAAAAAUCGGGGAGGGUUGCGUCAGGGAGGGCAUCCGGCGUAAAAAUUGUGCCAAAUCAAAUACGUGGACCAAUGAUCAGCUGUGGCAACCUCUAACAGGAGCAGCCAAAAGAGGAACAACAACAACAUAUAGCAAUAUAAAUAAACUCCUGGGUGUAUUAAUUUACAUGUACAUACAGUAUGCUUUAAUGCUUCUUAUACUGUGACUAAAUACACU